rnacentral:tRNA from 1 species
AUCUGAAUAGUUUAUUUAAAAUAUUGAAUUGUGAUUUCAAUGAAAUAGUUAUUAUUUUAGAUU